rnacentral:rRNA from 1 species
AGUGAACGCUGGCGGUAGGCCUAACACAUGCAAGUCGAACGGCAGCACAGUAAGAGCUUGCUCUUACGGGUGGCGAGUGGCGGACGGGUGAGGAAUACAUCGGAAUCUACUUUUUCGUGGGGGAUAACGUAGGGAAACUUACGCUAAUACCGCAUACGACCUACGGGUGAAAGCAGGGGAUCUUCGGACCUUUCGCGAUUGAAUGAGCCGAUGUCGGAUUAGCUAGUUGGCGGGGUAAAGGCCCACCAAGGCGACGAUCCGUAGCUGGUCUGAGAGGAUGAUCAGCCACACUGGAACUGGGACACGGUCCAGACUCCUACGGGAGGCAGCAGUGGGGAAUAUUGGACAAUGGGCGCAAGCCUGAUCCAGCCAUACCGCGUGGGUGAAGAAGGCCUUCGGGUUGUAAAGCCCUUUUGUUGGGAAAGAAAAGCAGCAGGUUAAUACCCCGCUGUUCUGACGGUACCCAAAGAAUAAGCACCGGCUAACUUCGUG